GUGCUCCUUCGGCAGCAUAUAUUCUAAAAUCGGAACGAUGCAGAGAAGAUUAGCAUGGCCCCUGCACAAGGAUGACAUGUAAAUUCGGGAAGUGUUCCAUAUUAAA